CCUACGGGAGGCAGCAGUGGGGAAUAUUGCACAAUGGGCGAAAGCCUGAUGCAGCGACGCCGCGUGAGGGAUGACGGCCUUCGGGUUGUAAACCUCUUUCAGCAGGGAAGAAGCGCAAGUGACGGUACCUGCAGAAGAAGCACCGGCUAACUACGUGCCAGCAGCCGCGGUAAU
rnacentral:rRNA from 1 species